GAUUGUGCGCAGUACAUAAUCCGAGAUAGUGGUGUUUGUCAACAGACUUGUGUUGGCAAUACUUGAACGAAUAUCGGGAGGCGUAUGGUAAAAGUUUGCUCCAAGCUAACACGUUGCCGUGAAUAUUGAACCCCCCUGAUUCCAUGAUUUGAAUAUUGCUGCUCGAAAUCUCGUGAUCCCAGAUAUUCAGUUGUGAAAACUUUUUACCGUUACUUGAAAGAGGGACAAGGAAAUUUUCCUUUCCGCAGAGAAAAUGCCAAUAUUUGAAGAAAGUUGGAACCUGCCUAAGAAAGAAAUAGGUUUAUGUACAAACUUUUGCACUUUAUCAGACGUGUUCAGAUGUUGAAACUUGAGUCCUUAACUUAAAUGAAUGGUGACUUUAUCCAGUAGCAACUCCACAAUCAGGCAAAACAUAUUAUAGUCUUUAAUUCUGAUCGUAACAUACAUACAACAAUACCAUUGGUUAUGAAUUUCAAAAGAUCAAAAUCGUACAAACCAA